UUGGUUCUUCUUCCUCCUAUGUCCACAUCUGGUCAGACUAGUUCAUCCACUAAGACUUAUAUUCCAUUGAUACAAAUUGCUCAAUCCAUACAAACUUUACCAGCUCCCAUGUAUCAAUAGUAUACCUAUUGGUAUAUCCUUACCCACUUUCCCAUAUGAACCAGCACCACUAUGUGGUGGAACUACUCCACCACAUUGUCGGAAACUCUGGAUUUUUUUCCCAGCCACCCCAAUAGCCCCAACAACCAAUAGCAGUGGAUGUCCCUAAUGAUCAUCAGGAUCUUUAAUGGUGGAGGCAGAUCAAGAAGUGUAUCUCUAGGAG
rnacentral:lncRNA from 1 species